rnacentral:lncRNA from 1 species
UGGGGUUUAACAACAAAAUUAAAGCACACUUUAUACAGUUUAUUUGGAACAUGGUGUCUGUCAUCAAAGUUGGCUCUUAUUAUGCUGAUUUAUAUGAAAUGUUUGGGGUUUUUAGGAGGAGGGAUGAGUUUUAAUUUGAUGUUUGUGAGUUCAUUGAUGAAAGCUCUGUUGACAUGUGUGUUCCUGCAGGGUUUUAUUUUUUUAAUGAGAUAAGCAGAGUAAAGAGGGACAGUAUGAAAACAACUUGAUGAACACUAAUAGAGGAGUCAUUGAAUUAUCCAUUUGAGUGUCUGCUCCAAAGCAUCACAAGAGUCAGUUCUGCUUUUGAAUCACAUAAACCCGAGGGACAUUUAUUCAUACGUUUCUGUAAAUGUGAGCUUUGGAAAUCAGAAAGGUUGUGAAGUUAUCGUCACUGGCCUCACCAGCCAGAUUGCUUCUGCAUAUGUCUUUGCUCCAGGACAUAUGCAGACAGACUCGUCUCCUACUACAGUCUGUUACCAUGGUAAGAGACAGACGCACACCAUAGAUGUUUAUGCACAGUCAGUGGUCUUGAGCAAACUAGCUUAAUUUCUAAGAAACUGCACAGAAAUCUACAAUCGUUUGAGCAUAUGUAUAAAAAAUGAACCCCUUAAAGUCCUGACAGUAACUCAUACUUGGUACCAAUAUGCAAACAUAAGCUUGCUAACAGCCUUAAAAUGGUAAACAUGCCUGUCAAACAUCAGUAUAGUAACACUGUCGUUGUAAUCCCCUUUCAAAUCUAGUUAGCAUUUCUGUGCUGGAUUGUAAUGACUGUGUUCUAGUUGUUUUUAUGAUUAUUUUAUCAUUUUGAUCUCCCUUUCCUUUUCAAAUGUGUUUCAUUUGCCACGACUAUAAAAGCUACAGCACCAAAUGAGCUGUUUAGCUCCUCUAGCAGAUGUCCCAAAUAUUCUUAUGAAGAAAUAACUAUUGAUCUGCUCGUUCUCCUCAAGGUGGAUAUAUACCUUAUAUAACAAAAAGCAUUAAUCAAUUCAACUUUACUUACAGUAAUUUUUUUUUGAAACAGUUUCACUUCCUUUAUUAAAUGAAUCAUUUGUUUCCACAUGAGUUUGGGCGUAGUAUAGAUGACUCUCCCCUGACAGGUCUUCCUCACGGCUUCUCUGAUGUCUUUCUGUGAAAUAUCUCUGCUCUAGAAAUGAGUCUGACAUCUCACAGAGAAAAAGUCCCUUAGCUGACACAUUUGACUAACCUCCAGUGUGCGGAUCCUCCUCUUUAGAUACACAAGGAUACUGGCAAUAAACUUUGAUUAUAGACAAACAUCAGAAAGCUUGAACAGAGUUGCUGCUGUUUGAGCUUCUUGGGUGAGACACUAAGGGAGUGAUCAAGAGAAGUAGGGAAGAUACGGAAGCAAGGCUGCUGCUGAGCAGUGUAUCACACCUGCAUGUUUCAUUCUUUCUUACAUUUGAAAGAUUUCUUUGGAUAUUCAAAUAAAUACACACUUUGGACUCUUUGGAUAAGUAUAUGAGAGCGCUCAUUCUGCACUUGAGCUUGGUGUGAGAAACCCACAGAGGAAGGAGGAGGGAAGUGAGGUUCAUUCAAGGCCACGCUUGGCUUCAGGUUGUAAUACGUUGACAGUUGUCCAAGAUUUGUGAAGCACAUAAACCCCUGUAGUUGUUUCCAGAUUCCUGCAGUGAUACUGUGACUCACAGACCCAAAUUCCCCUUAUUUUUCUGUUUUAACUGGUAGAUGAGGUGUGGGAUUCAGAUUAAGAUAAGAGCAAGAUAGUGGGUUAAGUCUGGAGAGGUGUUAUUUAGCAAAAAUUAUCUUUUUAGUAACGCAAACAGAAGUCAAAUCUGAAAUCUUACAAUAGAAAAGCAGGGAAAUUAGCCACAAGUGUGCAAUAACCACAUUCUUUCCUUCUCUACUGUUCGUAUUUUUCAGUUUCUUGUUG